AGGACGAACGCUGGCGGCGUGCCUAACACAUGCAAGUCGAACGAGGUCCAUGGAGUGGCAACACUUCGGAAGACCUAGUGGCGAACGGGUGAGUAACACGUGAGGAACCUACCCCGGAGACCGGGAUAACUCUCCGAAAGGAGAGCUAAUACCGGAUACCCCCAUCGGAUCGCAUGGUCUGAUGAGGAAAUGGAUUCCGCUCCGGGCGGGUCUCGCGGCCCAUCAGCUUGUUGGCGAGGUAACGGCUCACCAAGGCAUCGACGGGUAGCUGGUCUGAGAGGACGAUCAGCCACACUGGGACUGAGACACGGCCCAGACUCCUACGGGAGGCAGCAGUGGGGAAUCUUGCGCAAUGGGCGAAAGCCUGACGCAGCAACGCCGCGUGGGGGAUGAAGGCCUUCGGGUUGUAACCCUUUCAGUGGGACGAAAUUGACGGUACCACAGAAGAAGCCCGGCUAACUACGCGCCAGCAGCCGCGGUAA
rnacentral:rRNA from 1 species